rnacentral:misc_RNA from 1 species
CAACCCUCAAGCUCUGCUUGGUCUUGGGCUCUGCCGGUAACGGCUGGCCUUAAACGCAGUGGCGGUGCCAUUCGAGCUCUACGCGUAGUAGUUAAACCCUCGCGAUUGAGUCUUGGUGGUUGCUUGCCAGAACCCCUAUAUUUUUUAU